GUGAGUGUAGCUCAGUCGGUUAGAGCGCCUGACUGUGGCUCAGGAGGCCGAGGGUUCAAAUCCCUUCACUCACC
rnacentral:tRNA from 1 species